rnacentral:rRNA from 1 species
GAUGAACGCUAGCGGCAGGCCUAAUACAUGCGAGUCGGACGGGAUCCAUCGGUAGCUUGCUAUCCAUGGUGAGAGUGGCGCACGGGUGCGUAACGCGUGAGCAACCUGCCUCCAUCAGGGGGAUAGCCUCUCGAAAGAGAGAUUAACACCGCAUAACAUAUCAGACCGGCAUCGGUCGGAUAUCAAAUAUUUAUAGGAUGGAGAUGGGCUCGCGUGACAUUAGCUUGUUGGUGGGGUAACGGCCCACCAAGGCGACGAUGUCUAGGGGCUCUGAGAGGAACCCCCCAGACUGGUACUGCGGCACAGACCAGACUCCUACGGGAGGCAGCAGUAAGGUAUAUUAGUCAAUGGGCGGAAGCCUGACACAGCCAUGCCGGGUGCAGGAUGACUGCGCUAUGGGUUGUAAGCUGCUUUUGUACGGGAAUAAACCUACUUACGUGUAGGGAGCUGAAUGUACCGGAAGAAUAAGGAUCGGCUAACUACGUG